AUUUCUGCAAGAUGAUGACUGCGAGUAGAGUAAGAAGAAAAAUGCCACCUGGGUUGGUGAAUAUCCGCGAGUGUGACAAGGAGAACUUGAAAUCCUGUGGGCUCCAGUUAAUUUCUCAUGUCAUGAAAGAAUUUAAAAAAGAGCAAAACAAACUAAGAGCUCAUGUGAAUGAGAUUCUCCACAGCAUCUUCUUUUUAGGGACCAUUCAUAAGGACAGUCUCACUCCCGAAGACAUUAUACCUGAAAAGAUUGCUGAGAUUAGACAGGAAUUUCCAGAACCAUUUAAGAAAUACAAGAGUCAUCUACCUAAGCGGACACCUUUCUCAAUACUGUUAGACAUAGUAAGAAUCAUAUUAGGUUAUGCUUUUUUUGUUUUUGUGAAUUUUUUUGUGAAUUAUAAGUAUUUUUAUUUAUCAAAUAUGUCCUCAAAAAGUAAAAUUUACUGCAGCAAUCAUGAAUAAAUAUAUUGCAAAUACAUUUUUACUUGUGUAAAUAGUAU
rnacentral:lncRNA from 1 species